AGGUCGAAAUCAAUUCCGUUUGUUUCCCGUGAAAGUAGACUCACGCAUCUACGUUUCUACACCUUUCGUUCGUCAAACGACUCUUCGACUACUCGCGCUCCGGAGUCGAACCAGGGUUAGCUGUUUGCCAAGAUCACGUGGAUAAGCAAGCAGUUUAUGAUUUGAAAGCUGGUCCACCCCGAUUCUUUUGAUUCCUCGGAGGUUUUUAUGUUAUUAAACUAGUUUCUAUUUUUCGAACUCUUAGACCG